rnacentral:rRNA from 1 species
UCCAGAGUAUCAAUUGGAGGGCAAGUCUGGUGCCAGCAGCCGCGGUAAUUCCAGCUCCAAUAGCGUAUAUUAAAAUUGUUGCAGUUAAAAAGCUCGUAGUUGAAUUUCUGCUGCAUUGCAUUUUCUCCUAUACGAGUUUUUGCAUUGUGGCUUAUUUCGGUUAUAAAAUUUAUUUUAUUUCCGGAUGUUUACUUUGAGAAAAUUAGAGUGCUCAAAGCAGGCUUUUGCCUUGAAUAGUUUAGCAUGGAAUAAUAAAGUAGGACUUUGGUUCUAUUUUGUUGGUUUUAGGUACCAAAGUAAUGGUUAAUAGGAACAGUUGGGGGCAUUCGUAUUUAACUGUCAGAGGUGAAAUUCUUAGAUUUGUUAAAGACGAACUACUGCGAAAGCAUUUGCCAAGGAUGUUUUCAUUAAUCAAGAACGAAAGUUAGGGGAUCGAAGACGAUCAGAUACCGUCGUAGUCCUAACCAUAAACUAUGCCGACUAGAGAUUGGAGGUCGUCAGUUUUUACGACUCCUUCAGCACCUUGAGAGAAAUCAAAGU